AAGCUUUCUUCUUCCCUUCACUUUUCUACAUAACCCCUUCAGUAUUCCUCAUAGUUUUGAUUUUGCCUUUUAUUUUAGUGUAUUUUAUUGUUCUGUAAUGGAUUUUCCUUUUUUGAAAUUCUUCACAAAAUAGACUGAACGUUUAUGUAUUUCACCGUCAGGUGUUCAUUAUCCAUCCCCAGAGCUUACCUUUGGUAUUGGAAGAGGCAAAGGGGUAUCACGAAUGUUAAAUUUCAAAUGUUUGCAAGUCAGGCAUUUAUACUGCUUCUUGCUACUACUGGAAUUUAAUUCUUAUUGUUGAUUGUUUAUUUCUGCACCCGCAGUUACCCAGUCAUCACGGGAAGAAAAAUGUACGCUUGAAGAUGCACGCCAAGUGUCUGAGAAAAUGACCAGUAGAGAUUCUAUAGUAGUAAAGCAGAGGACACAUGAAAUGAUAAUUAAUUAAUGCCUGACUUUGCUACUAAUUGAAAGAUAGAUUUCAGAUGCACGCCAAGUGUCUAAGAAAAUAGGGGACAAAUGAAGCUCUUGGGCAAUAUCUGCCAUGCAAUAUGUGGAGUGCAUAAUCAGGGUCAUGUGUGCUGUUGUGGUUGGUAAAUGUGCACCAUUAUUUUGUGGUUCAUGUGUUCCAUAAAGUUGGUUACUGACUUUUUUACUUUUUGGAAAUCUCACUCUACCAACUGAGCAGCUUUACCGAUGAAUGAGGAACAAGGAAGCUGAACAAUGAAUUGGUUUACUUUUUACACAAUGAUUUGCAGCAGGACUGGAGAUUUAAAUUCAGUAUGUAGUUAUAUCAAGGAUCACAGAAUUUAACAGGAAAAUGAUCCUCAAUCUUGAGUGAGAUCUUGGCCUGCCAACACAUUCCUACUCUGUCAAAACUAUGGUGGUUCAUAAAUUCAGAAUUGUGAUCAUUAUGUUUCAAAUGAUGUGGAGGCACGCAUUAGUGGGGUACAUGCAGAAGAAUGAAUGUCUAUUAGAACCUGUUGACAGAAGAAGGUUGAUGUGUAUAGCAGACAUACGGAUCGAGUUACAUCUGAAAUGGAAGCAAAAGCCAAAUGAGCUUGUUCCCCAUAAAUUAAUCCAAUAAAUGAAAAUGUGAACAUAAAUGAGUGAGAAAUAUUUAUUAAUUUUAUGAAACUAACUCAGCAUGAUUGCAGUGCAUUAAAAAAAAUUUAAGUAGUAAACAACAAUAUUAAUAGAUUCUAAAUAGUGUGAUUAUAAUAUAUUUU